rnacentral:misc_RNA from 1 species
AACGCACGAGACCUGCGGACCUGCGGAAGGAUCAUUAAUGAGAAACUGCCCCUCGCGGGUAGAUCUCCCACCCUUUGUAAACUUACCUUUGUUGCUUUGGCAGGUCCGUCUCCGGACCGCCGGCUUCGGCUGGCCAGUGCCUGCCAGAGGAUUCUAAAACUCUGUCUGUCAGUGUUGUCUGAGUCUAUAUACAAUCGUUAAAACUUUCAACAACGGAUCUCUAGAUCGGAAGAGCACACG